GCAUAUAAUGUUACUUGCUGUGGAACCAACAUGAAGCCAAGCUGUUUUUCCUUUUUUUUUUUAAUUAAAAAAAAUCAAAUUGCAUAAAAAAAAUGCUCAGUUUUAUUCGUUAAAUAUUAGCCAAAUAUAUUUACUUACAAUCAAAAAAUAUUUGAAGAAGACUUCAUGUAUUAAAAUGCAAAGGAUAUCUAAAUUUUUAAUGCAUCCCUAUUGAAAAAACUUUCCCAUUUGGAUUAAUGUUGGUACGAAUUUGGGGUGAUGUUAUUAGUUUGCAGUUUAGGCUCCUUUGCUUUCGGAAAAUAAUUUGUUUGAAAAAUAUUUUUCUUUUUUUUAAAGGAAAUCAAAUUAGAAAUUUUAUUAAGAGGAAACUUUAUAUAGAUAUGGGAUACAGAUCAAUAUGUUUCUAUAUUUUUGUAUAUAAAGUCUAAUGCUAAACUACUUACAAAGAAUAAAAAAACACAAUCUUGAGUUGAAGUAUCCGAUCGAGUUGACAGAAUAUAUAAUUUGUGUCAUAGGCGAUCACUUGCUCCACUUGAUGGCUGUUCAUAACCACUAUGCGACUCCAUGGUUUUUCUAUAAGUCCGAUCUGAUUACCUUUAAAUUUCUUUUUUUUUUUAUUAGAAAGGAGAUCUACACUUCUUUCUAUAUAAAUAUCUAAAUAACAAAAGACGCUGGACGAAAUCACCAUAAUGGUGACAACAAUAACUCAGAACUAGAUCUGAAAAUAAAAUUUCAAGAUAUAAACAAUAAUAAAUCCCGAUAUUUAGGAGACAAUAACUCAGAUCUUUAUACAGAUCUGAAGAUUAUUUAUAAAAAAAUAAAAAAGGGAAAAAGCUAACCAUCGGUGAGCUCUCGUGAAAAAUAUUUUCUGGUUAAAGAAAAACUAAGACAUGUUUAAGGAAAAUGAUUUUCACUUCCAAGAAAAAAAUAUUUUCCUUAUUACUACACUUACCAUUUUUUUAAAGAAACACUUAGUAUAACUUUUAAAAACACAAUUUUUUUAAUUUAUUAAUCACAAUUUUUUUAAUUUAUUAACCUAGCAAAUAUACAACUAAGUUUUUAUGAAUAUUUUGGAUUU
rnacentral:lncRNA from 1 species